GAUCAUUACUGAUUUGCUUAAUUGCACCACAUGUGUUUUUCUUUGAAACAAACUUGCUUUGGCGGUGGGCCCAGCCUGCCGCCAGAGGUCUAAACUUACAACCAAUUUUUUAUCAACUUGUCACACCAGAUUAUUACUAAUAGUCAAAACUUUCAACAACGGAUCUCUUGGUUCUCGCAUCGAUGAAGAACGCAGCGAAAUGCGAUACGUAAUAUGAAUUGCAGAUAUUCGUGAAUCAUCGAAUCUUUGAACGCACAUUGCGCCCUCUGGUAUUCCGGAGGGCAUGCCUGUUUGAGCGUCGUUUCUCCCUCAAACCGCUGGGUUUGGUGUUGAGCAAUACGACUUGGGUUUGCUUGAAAGACGGUAGUGGUAAGGCGGGAUCGCUUUGACAAUGGCUUAGGUCUAACCAAAAACAUUGCUUGCGGCGGUAACGUCCACCACGUAUAUCUUCAAACUUUGACCUCAAAUCA
rnacentral:misc_RNA from 1 species